rnacentral:rRNA from 1 species
GCGAACGACGGGCCAGGAGCCGGGGUAAGACGGAGGUGGCAAGCGGGGUCCGGAAGUAUUGGGCGUAAAGGGCUCGCAGGCGGUGUCUUAAGGCGGAUGUGAAAGGCCCCGGCUCAACCGGGGAGGGGCAUUGGAAACUGGGGAACUGGAGUGCAGAAGAGGAGAGUGGAAUUCCACGUGUAGCGGUGAAAUGCGUAGAGAUGUGGAGGAACACCAGUGGCGAAGGCGACUCUCUGGUCUGUAACUGACGCUGAGGAGCGAAAGCGUGGGGAGCGAACAGGAUUAGAUACCCCGGUAGUC